GUAGGUGGCAAGCGUUGUCCGGAAUUAUUGGGCGUAAAGCGCACGCAGGCGGUUCUUUAAGUCUGAUGUGAAAGCCCACGGCUCAACCGUGGAGGGUCAUUGGAAACUGGAGAACUUGAGUACAGAAGAGGAAAGCGGAAUUCCACGUGUAGCGGUGAAAUGCGUAGAGAUGUGGAGGAACACCAGUGGCGAAGGCGGCUUUCUGGUCUGUAACUGACGCUGAGGCGCGAAAGCGUGGGGAGCAAACAGGAUUAGAUACCCUGGUAGUCCACGCCGUAAACGAUGAGUGCUAAGUGUUAGGGGGGUUUCCGCCCCCCUUAGUGCUGCAGCUAACGCAUUAAGCACUCCGCCUGGGAGUACGGCCGCAAGGCUG
rnacentral:rRNA from 1 species